CCUACGGGAGGCAGCAGUCGAGAAUCAUUCACAAUGGGGGAAACCCUGAUGGUGCGACGCCGCGUGGGGGAAUGAAGGUCUUAGGAUUGUACACCCCUGUCAUGUGGGGGCAAAUUAACAAGAUAGUACCACAAGAGGAAGAGACGGCUAAAUCUGUGCCAGCAGCAGCGGUAAUACAGAGGUCUCAAGCGUUGUUCGGAAUCACUGGGCGUAAGGGGUGCGUAGGCUGUUUCGUAAGUCGUGUGUGAAAGGCGCGGGCUCAACCCGCGGACGGCACAUGAUACUGCGAGACUAGAGUAAUGGAGGGGGAACCGGAAUUCUCGGUGUAGCAGUGAAAUGCGUAGAUAUCGAGAGGAACACUCGUGGCGAAGGCGGGUUCCUGGACAUUAACUGACGCUGAGGCACGAAGGCCAGGGGAGCGAAAGGGAUUAGAUACCCCUGUAGUC
rnacentral:rRNA from 1 species